GGAGGGAUGGCCGAGCGGUCUAAGGCGCUGUGUUCAGGUUGAUAUCCAACCCAGGACGAUACUUUCGCAGUCUAGUAAUAGGCGUGGGUUCGAAUCCCACUUCCUUCA